GGGAAACGAUGUAGUUGUGGAGCAGAGGUGGCCUUGAGGCUGGGGUUAAAGAGGUGGUGGCAAAGACACUGAGAACUGGAUCAUCUGCCUUUGCUUAUUAUACUGCAACACAGGAACAGCCACAGGAUCUGAAAACUGUGGCCAGUUAGGACACACUGAAAAUACAUACCCUGGAAACAAAAGAUUUUUAGAAGACAAAAGGAAGGCACCAUGUGAAAACAUCACUAUGGAAACAUCACGGGCUCACUUGUACUUGCCUGCCAAGUGACUACCUAACUGAAGUUUUACAUCCUAUUGGAUCACUGUUGGCCAUCUGCUCUCCUUCAAACUUCUCUGAAUUCCAUAUUUCCCUGAAAAGUUCAUUUUUAGAAAGGAGGGAGGAGGAGGCAAGGGGAGAAUCCAGCAUUCUUGGCUAGCGCUGAGCUAUUGUGGAAAAGGAAGAGAAACUCACUUUGGGGCAGCCCCUUAAAAAGACAAAGAUCCAUGUUUUGUGAAAUAAUUUCAUAGAAAAUACCCCAUUUCUAGAUGCACUUUAAUGAUAAGAGUAUAUAUUGGCAGCCACAAUGCAAAACAAAUAAACAGCUGCUUCUAGUACUCUCACACUAAUUGUCUUCCUCUCCCCUUCUCUCAUUUAGCGUCAAAUGUAUUUUCUUCUAAAAUGUAACAGUUACUGCCUACACUGGAGUUGUUGGCUGCAGGCUCCCCAGCCUUGCUCCAAAUAAAACACAGAAAUAGAUUUCCUGCCAAGCACUGGGGAAGUUUGAAGACUUUAGUUUUUAAAAAUAUAAUCUUUUUAUCAGUGCCCUAAGCCUGCCAAAGGUAAUUAUGGGCCAUGGCACAUUUACAUUAAUGCACAGGACCUACAGACAUUUCAAAAGCUUAAUGGAGAAACUCCAUAAAUGUACAUAUUGAAAAAUAAAUUAAUUAAAUUAAACUGUCAUGUAAAGAUAUCACUUAAUUUUGCAGAGCGGAAGGCACUCUUAAUGGGAAUGGAAUGGAUCAGUGAGCAUUUCAAAACCCAAAGCUAUAAUUUAAAUUCAGGCUCUCCUCUAGCGUGCAAGUCACAAGACAUAUUUAUUAUAGCCUUGGAUUGUCAAUUGUAAUCGGUUUAGCAGAGACAAAGCCGUGUUGUUUUGCUUUCUUGCCCUCCUAGCUGGUUCAAUAUAUUUUGAUGUCAGACUAUUGACAAGCAAACCAAAGGCUGAAAUAAUAAAAUCAUGUUUACCUGUGAUGAACUGGCAAAAAUGCAGUCCAAGGUAAAUGUAACGCUGAAGCCUUAUGUAUUUGUUUAUCAAGCAGCAAGGGAAAAACGGUGAUGUGAAGCUUUUAAACUUCUUUAAAUAAACCAGUUGAAUAUAUUUACUGCUGCUCU